GACGAACGCUGGCGGCGUGCUUAACACAUGCAAGUCGAACGGAAAGGCCCUGCUUUUGUGGGGUGCUCGAGUGGCGAACAGGUGAGUAACACGUGAGUAACCUGCCCUUGACUUUGGGAUAACUUCAGGAAACUGGGGCUAAUACCGGAUAGGAGCUCCUGCUGCAUGGUGGGGGUUGGAAAGUUUCGGCGGUUGGGGAUGGACUCGCGGCUUAUCAGCUUGUUGGUGGGGUAGUGGCUUACCAAGGCUUUGACGGGUAGCCGGCCUGAGAGGGUGACCGGCCACAUUGGGACUGAGAUACGGCCAAGACUCCUACGGGAGGCAGCAGUGGGGGAUAUUGCACAAUGGGCGGAAGCCUGAUGCAGCAACGCCGCGUGCGGGAUGACGGCCUUCGGGUUGUAAACCGCUUUCGCCUGUGACGAAGCGUGAGUGACGGUAAUGGGUAAAGAAGCACCGGCUAACUACGUG
rnacentral:rRNA from 1 species